AAAAUAUGGCAAGUUUCUAAUAGUACAGGAAGUUUUACAAAAUCCUUUAUAUUUCAGGCGCAAAGGCCCAUCCUCAGAAGGAAACAGU